rnacentral:misc_RNA from 1 species
UCUCCGUAGGUGAACCUGCGGAGGGAUCAUUACUGAGUGAGGGCUCACGCCCGACCUCCAACCCUUUGUGAACCCAUCUUGUUGCUUCGGGGGCGACCCUGCCGGCACUCGGUCGCCGGGCGCCCCCGAAGGUCUCCAAACACUGCAUCUUUGCGUCGGAGUUUAAAACAAAUUAAACAAAACUUUCAACAACGGAUCUCUUGGCUUCCGCAUCGAUGAAGAACGCAGC